rnacentral:rRNA from 1 species
GAUGAACGCUAGCUACAGGCUUAACACAUGCAAGUCGAGGGGCAUCAGGAAGAAAGCUUGCUUUCUUUGCUGGCGACCGGCGCACGGGUGAGUAACACGUAUCCAACCUGCCCUUUACUCGGGGAUAGCCUUUCGAAAGAAAGAUUAAUACCCGAUAGCAUAAUGAUUCCGCAUGGUUUCAUUAUUAAAGGAUUCCGGUAAAGGAUGGGGAUGCGUUCCAUUAGGUUGUUGGUGAGGUAACGGCUCACCAAGCCUUCGAUGGAUAGGGGUUCUGAGAGGAAGGUCCCCCACAUUGGAACUGAGACACGGUCCAAACUCCUACGGGAGGCAGCAGUGAGGAAUAUUGGUCAAUGGGCGCUAGCCUGAACCAGCCAAGUAGCGUGAAGGAUGAAGGCUCUAUGGGUCGUAAACUUCUUUUAUAUAAGAAUAAAGUGCAGUAUGUAUACUGUUUUGUAUGUAUUAUAUGAAUAAGGAUCGGCUAACUCCGUGCCAGCAGCCGCGGUAAUACGGAGGAUCCGAGCGUUAUCCGGAUUUAUUGGGUUUAAAGGGAGCGUAGGUGGACUGGUAAGUCAGUUGUGAAAGUUUGCGGCUCAACCGUAAAAUUGCAGUUGAUACUGUCAGUCUUGAGUACAGUAGAGGUGGGCGGAAUUCGUGGUGUAGCGGUGAAAUGCUUAGAUAUCACGAAGAACUCCGAUUGCGAAGGCAGCUCACUGGACUGCAACUGACACUGAUGCUCGAAAGUGUGGGUAUCAAACAGGAUUAGAUACCCUGGUAGUCCACACAGUAAACGAUGAAUACUCGCUGUUUGCGAUAUACAGUAAGCGGCCAAGCGAAAGCAUUAAGUAUUCCACCUGGGGAGUACGCCGGCAACGGUGAAACUCAAAGGAAUUGACGGGGGCCCGCACAAGCGGAGGAACAUGUGGUUUAAUUCGAUGAUACGCGAGGAACCUUACCCGGGCUUAAAUUGCAGUGGAAUGAUGUGGAAACAUGUCAGUGAGCAAUCACCGCUGUGAAGGUGCUGCAUGGUUGUCGUCAGCUCGUGCCGUGAGGUGUCGGCUUAAGUGCCAUAACGAGCGCAACCCUUAUCUUCAGUUACUAACAGGUCAUGCUGAGGACUCUGGAGAGACUGCCGUCGUAAGAUGUGAGGAAGGUGGGGGUGACGUCAAAUCAGCACGGCCCUUACGUCCGGGGCUACACACGUGUUACAAUGGGGGGUACAGAAGGCAGCUAGCGGGUGACCGUAUGCUAAUCCCAAAAUCCUCUCUCAGUUCGGAUCGAAGUCUGCAACCCGACUUCGUGAAGCUGGAUUCGCUAGUAAUCGCGCAUCAGCCACGGCGCGGUGAAUACGUUCCCGGGCCU